rnacentral:rRNA from 1 species
CCUACGGGAGGCAGCAGUGAGGAAUAUUGGUCAAUGGACGUGCGUCUGAACCAGCCAAGUCGCGUGAAGGAUGACUGCCCUAUGGGUUGUAAACUUCUUUUAUAUGGGAAUAACAUGUUCCACGUGUGGGCUUUUGUAUGUUCCCUAUGAAUAAGGAUUGGCUUACUCCGUGCCAGCCACCGCGGUAAUACGGAGGAUACGAGAGUUAUCCGGAUUUUUUGGGUUUAAAGGGAGAGUUGGUGGAUUGUUAAGUCCGGUGUGAAAGUUGGCGGCUCAACCGUAAAAUUGCAGUUGAAACUGGCAGUCUUGAGUACAGUAGAGGUAGGCGGAAUUCGUGGUGUAGCGGUGAAAUGCUUAGAUAUCACGAAGAACUCCGAUUGCGAAGGCAGCUCACUGGACUGCAACUGACACUGAGGCACGAAAGUGUGGGUAUCAAACAGGAUUAGAUACCCGAGUAGUC